rnacentral:rRNA from 1 species
UACGUAGGGUGCGAGCGUUGUCCGGAAUUAUUGGGCGUAAAGGGCUCGUAGGCGGUCUGUCACGUCGGGAGUGAAAACUCGGGGCUCAACCCCGAGCCUGCUUCCGAUACGGGCAGACUAGAGGUAUGCAGGGGAGAAUGGAAUUCCUGGUGUAGCGGUGAAAUGCGCAGAUAUCAGGAGGAACACCGGUGGCGAAGGCGGAUCUCUGGGCCAUUACUGACGCUGAGGAGCGAAAGCGUGGGGAGCGAACAGG